UACAGAGGGUGCAAGCGUUGUUCGGAAUUAUUGGGCGUAAAGCGCGUGUAGGCGGCUUUGCAAGUCGGGUGUGAAAGCCCUCAGCUCAACUGAGGAAGUGCGCCCCGAAACUGCAGAGCUUGAGUACCGGAGAGGAUGGCGGAAUUCCCCCAAGUAGAGGUGAAAUUCGUAGAUAUGGGGAGGAACACCGGUGGCGAAGGCGGCCAUCUGGACGGAUACUGACGCUGAGACGCGAAAGCGUGGGGGAGCAAACAGG
rnacentral:rRNA from 1 species